rnacentral:rRNA from 1 species
UACGAAGGGGGCUAGCGUUGCUCGGAAUCACUGGGCGUAAAGGGUGCGUAGGCGGGUCUUUUAAGUCGGGGGUGAAAGCCUGUGGCUCAACCACAGAAUUGCCUUCGAUACUGGAUGGCUUGAGACCGGAAGAGGUAAGUGGAACUGCGAGUGUAGAGGUGAAAUUCGUAGAUAUUCGCAAGAACACCAGUGGCGAAGGCGGCUUACUGGUCCGGAUCUGACGCUGAGGCGCGAAAGCGUGGGGAGCAAACAGGG